UGCGGAAGGAUCAUUAAAGAGUAAGGGUUAUUCGUAGCCCGACCUCCAACCCUUUGUUGUUAUAACUACCUCGUUGCUUUGGCGGGACCGCUCGGUCUCGAGCUGCCGGUCUUCGGCCCGGCAAGUGCCCGCCAGAGUCUACUCAAACUCUUGUUUUAACCGGUCGUCUGAGUUAAACUUUUAAUUAAAUUAAAACUUUCAACAACGGAUCUCUUGGUUCUCGCAUCGAUGAAGAACGCAGCGAAAUGCGAUAAGUAAUGUGAAUUGCAGAAUUCAGUGAAUCAUCGAAUCUUUGAACGCACAUUGCGCUCCCUGGUAUUCCGGGGAGCAUGCCUGUUCGAGCGUCAUUACACCACUCAAGCACUGCUUGGUAUUAGGCCAUCGUCCCCCGCAAGGUGGGCGUGCCUCAAACACCUCGGCGGAGCCUCACCGGCUUUGGGCGUAGUAGAAUUUCUCAACGUCUUGCAAGUACCGGUCUGACUCCUUUGCCGUUAAACCACCAAUUUUUUACAGGU
rnacentral:rRNA from 1 species